ACUUGAAGUUGGCGUUGGUACAGAUGGUGUGUGUCUGUGUGUGUAUACAGCAGGUACUUGAAGUUGGUACAGAUGAUGUGUGUCUGUGUGUGUAUACAGCAGGUACUUGAUGUUGGUACAGAUGGUGUGUGUCUGUGUGUGUAUACAGCAGGUACUUGA